rnacentral:lncRNA from 1 species
UGGUGAAGAUAUAUAAAUAAAACUUAGUUCUCAUUGUUCCUUAUAUUGCUAUCUCUCCUCUUCUUUGAUCUUUGCUUUUGGAGAACAUGGGCUAUCUUCUCUCUUUUUUUUUCAGGUGGGUAGUAGAUACCCCUAAUUCUACUGUCGGACACUUGUCUAUUUUUUCCGCUCAAGUGGGCAUCUUUGUACCCCUAAUUCUACUUUGGACACUUGUCCAUUUUUACCUCUUGUCUCACUCUUUUUCUUUCUUUUUCGAGGUUCCGGGCACUUGCCCCUUUUUAUUUCCUCGUAUAUUUUUGCAUAACCCAUGCCUCUUCUGCAUUGAAUCUUUUUUAGAGAGAGAGAGAGAAUAACAUUAUUCGGGACAGUGAGUGAAAAUAUUUUUAGCAAUUUUAAUGAUUGAUGAUGAAUGCUGUGGUAGAUGUGUGCAAGUGAAUAUCUUAAUUUAACCACAUGAAAAGCUCCUAAGGGUCUACACAGCUCGAUCAAACUCAAUGUGAAUAUAGUAAAAGAUGUUAUAGCAAGUAUGGCUAUGGUAGGUAGUUUUGUUAUGCUAGGAACUCAUCAUGUGAUUUGUAAGUUUUCAAAAUAAGUCUCUAGAACUUAGUGUAGUAGGAACAAGAUAAACAGUAGCUCAACUUUAUAUCAUGCCUUUCUCUUACCUAGGCUUUAGUUUUUUAUGCUUCCCAAAGAUAGUAAUUUUAGUUUUAGUAAUUCCUGGAAGAACUCUAAUAUAAAAGCUAGGUACUUGUAAGUAAGCAAACAGAGCAACUGUUCAUCAUUUCCAUUAUGCAUCUUUUUGGUUAUUUAUAUUUUUUUCUAGAGAUUAAAUUUAGCAGAAAAAUAAAGCACACUUAUCUACACACUCUUUUUAUUUUGUUUUCAUGUUUAUAAAGUGCAGUAAAUUAAAGCAAGAAAAUAUUUAUUUGAUUUUCUAAGUUUUUUUUUCUUUUAAGAUAAAUUAAAUAGUAAGACAGAAUAGAAUAAAUAAGAAGAGCAAAUAGAAACUUACUUGAUAAAUUUGGGAGGAACUCCCCCAAGCUGGAUGUUGACGUCGGUCUUACCCGAUGUUCCAGAACCGCAUCAUGGUUGUGAUGUUGUCGUUCAUUGUUGUUGUAUCUUGUCUUAGCUCUUCUACUGCAGUGGCGUGGUCCUGGUUCCAUUUUUGUUGCUCUUCCAGGAGUCUUCCAUGUUCUGUUUGCGUGUUCUGGAUGUCGAGGAGGGUGUUGUCGGUACGAGUGAAGAAAGCACUGGCCUCUUGAUAGUAGUCAUUCAUGAAAGCGUAGGAGGCGUCGGAGUAUCGUCCUGCAUCAAAUUGGGGUGGAGGUCUGGAUCCUGAAGCUCCAUAUGGAUCAGUGGAGUACCUGCCCGUAUGAAAAGGCGGGUUUGUCCACUGGUGAUCUUGGCUCUCCGGCCAUGUCUCAUCUGUUGGCUCUUGUGGUUGCGCAUGACGAGCCCAUGGGUCUCGAAGGACUCGAGGGUUGUAAUCGCAAUAAUGCAGGUGCGCUGCUUCUUCUUGUCCAGGGUCAGCUCCAUACCAAGUGCGUUCUCAGUGAGUGGUUAUCUUUUCAGAUGCCACUCGCUGUGGAGUCCUCUGGUUCACUGGUGUUGCUGCAAUCUCAAUCAAAAAGUUUUGAACAACGUAGAGGCCAAGGUUCAGGUUAGGUAACCGAAUCUUGCCUUUAUCAUCAUAUAGCAUAUACAUUAUAUUCCCCUCUUUCUUUAACAUCCGAGCCUGUCUAAAUGUGUCAUAGCCAUGAUAAAUUCUUAACUCUUCUAUGAAGUCCAGUGACGAGUUUUCUAGUAAGUGAAGAUUAGAGGCUAGACGAGUGAUAAGUGAAGUACAUCCUACUGGUCCUGAAGACUAGGUAUACUAAGCCAAUGUGAAACUAAUAGUGUAACAGGUGAAGUGGGUACUUUACUAAUAGCAGCAUAUAAAAGUUGUAA